rnacentral:lncRNA from 1 species
GUUUUUGUAUGUUUUUCCUCUCUGCAACUUUACUGCAGCUUAAAGAUGCAAUCUGGGAUCAAGAUCCCAACAAAAAAGGUGUAUUUUGUGGCUUGUGUUAUACAGACAAUCUGAUUAGAUCAUCACAAGGUUUCAUAUUAUCCUUAAAAAUUGAUAUCUAUAAAAUAAGAGUUAUUGAUAUCUGUAAGAGUUGCAUUAAAAAAAAACACCCAUAAACAUAUAAAUAUACCUUUAUGUAAUAUUACAACAUUCAUACAGAGUGGCUGCACUAAUACCAACAGUGAAGCAGAAGUGUUUAAGAGGAAGGGGGAGUGACUUAGCAGGCAGUUUUUUUCCUGAGAAGUAACUUUUAAACCGCUUCACAUGGCUCAGCAAUUGGGAAUCAGUGUCAAUGGGGAAGGAAAGAAAUAAGAAAUGUUUAGAAAUACCGAUGUUUCCAAACAUAAAUAUUGCCAUUUCUGUUUUGAUAAAUCUGUUUAAAUCCCUUCAGAUUCCUGUGGAGGAGUAAAACAGCCUAAAGCUUUCAGCUUCUGAUAAACCCAGCGACUCAUUGUCCAGCUUCCUGUUCCUGAUAUGCAGAACACAUGUCAGAACAACUGGAGGGAUGACAACAAUGAGAGAUGAAAAAUGGGUACCAUUGGCAUUACAUACUCCCAGGGCAACCAGUAUUUGGAAACAGCAAAGUUUCUGGAAUUCAGCACUGUUGCUUAAGUACUGCUGUGGGCUGAAAGAGUUAAUCCACUCUAGUGGAGUGGCAAAUAAGACUGUCCCCAAAGACAUGCCUGCUGCUGACUAUUCUACAAGUCCAGCUACAGGAGAAGCAAAGGCCUCUGCUACAGGCACAAGUGUCCUAAAAGUCAGAUGCAGAAAUUCUUCUGGAAGAGAUACCACCCAGUUUCGGACUAGCAUACUUGGUGCUGUUUAUCACGGCAAAUGGACAGGUUUGAGCACCAGCACAAUCUACUUCCUUCUUUGGACUUUUUUUGGCUCAGUUUUGGCAUGGACUGAUCACCUUCUCCCAGCUGAUGGCCAAACACCAUUUGGAUGAUUGCUGUGGACCUAAGGCUCUUCUCAAGAGGUGAUAUGGUUGUGGUAACUCGAUUUAGGGGCAAAGAGGGGAGGGCUGACAGUGUGAGCCCAAACCUUGUUAUACCAUUUAUCCUUAGGGCCAGAGAACGGUUUUGGAAAAGUUAGCAAGUCAAAGGUUUAGUGGAUGAGAGGCCUCUGUCAAGUCUUGUGCAAAAAUUGCUUUUUUUUUCCAGUGUCAAUUUACUGUUUUUAAGUGGGUUUACUCCAGAGUACUUUUACCAUAUGUACUUUCUCAUCCCUCUCUUCUUUUUACUAAUCUUGCUCAGCACAUGAGUUGAUUGUAGUAGUAAAUGGUUUGGCCAAACAUAUGGCAGUGGACAGAAUUAAGGUCCUGGUAAGUAGAGAGAUCAGGCUGUCUUCUGCAUGCCCUCUUGGUCAGUAAAAUCCCAUACACACCAGUGCUACUCUGUUUCCGGAUGUCCACCAUGCCUUGCAUCCCACCAGCCAGGCUGCAGGAAGAGGGGUAAAGCAGCGAGGCUGUUUCCUCCAGGCUGAGCUGCUCCACAGCUCCUUUAGAAGAAAGCAAAUCCUUUGCUACCUUUCUUUUGGUCUGCCUCCUGUUGGCUUCCCCUUCCUCAGCGCCAGGAGCUGGUUGAGCCCACUAAUAACUCCAUUCUUCAUCAGUGCCACUGAAUGGGCAUUUUACAAGGCAAAGUUUGACUUAAAGCUCUUAGUAAAAGAAAGAAAUCCUUUUUAUAAUUACAUGAAAAGGACAAUUAUUUUCUCGCAUUGGGAUGAGAUCAGAAUUGGGCUUUCUGCAAUUUUUAUGUCCAAUAUAGAUUUGAUUUACCACAAUCCCCUGAUGAUUUUGGUGCUGAUAAAUAAAUGUAUUUAUAUGUUGUGCUCUUACAUUCCUAGUACUAACUGAGGAAGCAGAACAAUAACAUACUCUUGUCAAUACAAGCACUGCCCUGGGAAUUGACUAAUUAACAUAAAACUCAGCCCUGCAGGGACAUUUCCAGGUUCAUUUUUUGCUGCUUCAGCAAACUAUAGGGUUUGAGCUGUUAACUACUUUCAGAUGCUCUUUGUCUCUGAAGAAAGAAAUAAAGAACAUCCACGUUGCUUUAGGCAAGUUAAUGAUUCUACAGAACACUUACCUUUUUACCAUAUGCUUCAUGGUGGAUUAAAAUCCUGAAGGAGUUGAGGAUUAUAUAGCAUGUAUAGUCCUUUGGCAGAAAAACACUUACUCUGAACUAAAAGUGAAUGGCUGAAUGUGACAUUUAUAUUCAUUGUUUUUCCAGAACUGCGUACUGAGGAUGUUUGAAUUUACUCAAAAUAAUUCUUCCAGUAAUCCCAAAGCAGAGGUUUUGUAGGUGCUUUGAUUUCACGUGUUGUCUUAAGGUUAUGACAAAUAGUUCACAGUGGCUACUGGGAAAACUGGAGAAGUUUGCAUAUUCACUUCUGCAAAGUUAGAAGGAAAUCUGGCCUAACUUGGCAAAGGGAUGUGCUUACAGUUUUGAGGAACACAUAAUACUUGGGUUUUUGUGUGUCUGUGUGAUUUACUUUUCACUCAUGUUCAUUCCCUUGGAUGACAAAAGCAAAGUUUCUUGUCUACAGGAAAAAAUAGGAAAUAAAAGAGAAGGAAAGUCAAACUAAAUAAGGCUUUAAUCUCACAGAUAAAGAAAAAAACUUUCCCUCCUUCUUGUAGUGUUUGCUGUUAUUAUAGGCUGUUCUUAAUUUCCACAUGUGCCCAUUGCUUUUGUUUAUGAAUGAACAAAAUGACAUACUGCAGUUCACAGAAAUCAUCUGUAGAAAGAAACAAGGGAAUAAUUUUCUAUCACUGCUGAAAACUCUUCAGUAGAUCUUCAUGUGCUGCAGCUAAAAGGACCUGAAAAUUACAUUUUGAAUGAGCACAUAUACUUUCAAAGUAUUUUGUCAGAGCAGAAAGCUAAGUACACGUGCAAAAUGCACAUUUGAGAAAGCCGAAGUCACAGCACUUGCAGAUACACACAAUAUUCAUAGUUUUGUUUUGUACAUACAUUUACUUGUUGGUGCAUGAAUACAUAAAUUUUGUGAGUGUGCUUCAGGCAUUAGUAUGAGAAGCCGUGUGUAUAUAUGUGACUGUUUGUGCCUAUUAGCACAAAUUAUUACAAUUGCUCAUACCUAUCUGAUCCUGCUGUAUAGGCUUCAUAGGCUUUACCCAUUUGGAAUAAAAUUACACGAUGUAUGUCUGCCUGCACAUUUUUUUUUCCCCCAGCAGUUUUCAAACACAAUAAUUCAAUAUUUGCUAAAAAAGGAAGAAAAAUACCUUGUAAAACACAUAAUGUUUUACUCUUUAUCAGGCAAUGUGGAAAGGUUUCAUUUGUAUUGCUGUGUCUCUUGGGCUUCAGAACAGGAAAGCGCUCAUUCAAAAUGUAACGUCCAAGUCCUUUUAGCUACAGCACAUAAAGGUCUACUGAAAAGUUUUCGGCAGUGAUAUGAAAUGAAGUGGGAUAACUUAGAGAAGUCAGGAGGAUGAGAGGAAAUAAAAACAAAUAUGGGGCCAGUAAGUAGCCAGGACUAUCUGCCAGGACAAGGUGACUCCUGGGAAAAGGAAAGAGAGAUGAGUGACUACAGCAUGAGGAGUCAGAAGUAGGGAAAAGGAAAUACUGCUAUAGUAGUAUUUUGAAUAGGAUGAGACAGCAAGUGUCAGGGUGGUCAGACAAAAAACAGCCUUGGUGCCCCUCUAGUACUUUGGAGCAGUACUAAAUGUUUGUGAAAGUCACUUGGGAAGAUUUUCAGUUCCUCUAAUCUUCAUCCACAUUAGCAGCAGCAAUCUACUUCUGCCAUUGUUUACUAGAACAACUGUCAUGCCAGUUUGCAGAGAUCUGUGCAAUGGACUUCAGUGUUUCCAGUAUUGCUGAUUCUGGGAGUCAGCAAAUGCAAAGAUGCUAGAAAUAUGUCAAUGAAGUAUUGCUAUUCCUGUUUAUUUGUAUGCUCUCAUGAUCAGUAAAAUAACUUUCCUUAAUUUAGUCUGCCUUUACUCUUCAUGGAAAGCUUAAGGAAAACUAGGCAUAAGCAGCUCGGUUUCAUUCAAUUUUUCUAUGGAGGUCUCAUCCUGCACACACCAAUGGUGGCCAUCUAUCAUAUAUUUACAUUAUGUUGAAAUGAAGGGAACAUGACAUUUUUCCUUUAUUGUCAGGAGGUGUCAAAAGUAUUAAUAGCAUAAUUUUUGCUAGCUGGCUAAAAUUCUCACACUGCAAUCUUGUGCAUCAGCAUUUUUUUUUUUUUUUUUAAACCACAGAUGGUCAUUUAUGUAACACUGUUGGAAAUUGUUGCCAUGCUCCACAGCAACAGGAAAAUGGGAUACAUCUGCACUUUGUGGGGAAAAAUACAAAUGAACUAGAAGCUAUGCAAACAUUUAAAUUACAGGGAAACGGGACUGCGAUAAGCCCUGGUCUGCAUGAGCAGGAAGAGAGUGUCAGCCUCACCCAUACCCUGAAAAAAUGCUCACAUUUAUGGGCCACUCUAUUGUACUGAGUGGAAGUUUGUUUAUGCGGGACCUUCCUUCCCUCAGGACUUCCUCUGAGAGGAAAUGUCGUCACCAUUUAGUAGGAGUCAAUUGUUAUGCAUUCAAAACUCAAACAUAAAAUAGUAUCCCCGAAUGCAACGAAGUGCAAAGGAAUAAAUAAGAUUUAUGCAUUUACAUAUUUGGAAACAUUUACAAAAGUUGUUCUUGCUCACUAAGACUUUCAGAGAACUGGGUAAAAGCAAACAGGGCUUGAGUAAGUAGCUCAAAUAAUAUCGUUUUAUAGGUGCUCAAGAUGUUACUCAGUAUUUGAUGAAUCCCACGACUUUUGUCAUCGCUGCUAGUGCUCUAUGGCCGAUGUGGGAAUAUGUUUAAACAGAAGGCUGAAAAUCAGUUUGCAGCUGUAAAACCAGGGUCAUGCUCUUAUGGGAAUACUUGGCUAAGUCUGUUCCAUGUUUUGUACUGAAUGGCUCUGGAUCUGAAGCGCUCUGGGUAAGCAUUUUUCUCACACCAUAUUUCUGAGUUUAGUGUUCCCUGAGUUUUUUCUUUUUCUCAUGGCAAGAUACAAAUAUUGUUUCAUACUAAAUGCUGUAGAAGAGCUAAUAUUAGCGUUGCUUUCCCUUUGCCACUGUCAUCAUGUUGCCAGUCAUAUGUUGCUAGUCCCCACCUUGUGGGAGGGGAAUUCGCUGAGCUAUUGGAGUGCCACAUUCAGAGAAGGCCUGAGGUUGGCAGACCACGAUCCACAGCAGUCUGCAGGGAACAUUUGUGUCCAAAAGAUGCAGCCCAACCCCGAUCAAUGAUGGCCCAGGAGGUGUCAUGAUAGUCUGUCUGCUGAAGAUUCAACAUCCAUGAAGUCUUCUUCCCUGAUGUAUGAUCAAUACUAAAAAUAAGUUGCGUGUCUAUCAGAGAAAUUUUCCUGGAGAUACAUUAUGACAACUAAUGGAGCAAGAAGAUGUGCUUUAUCUUGCCUGUGGAAUGCAAAUUUUGAUCCAAGGACAAUAUAUAAAGUGCAGCACAAGAUUACACACUGGUGUCAACCUGAUUAAAGCUCUUUUAGAUAAAGUGCCAUAGUCUAGAAGUUGAUUUUUUCCUGGCUAGAGAUCUGGCCCAUCAUGAUUAUACCAAUUCUCCCCUCCAUACUCUCUCUCCCCAUUCCUCCCACACGUUUUCUCAACCAUGAAGCAAGCAAAGGCUUCUCAUUUCGUGCAUGUGGAUGUAACCGUGCAGCCAGGCCGACCCAGCCCCAGCUCCUG